AAAACAUGUAAGACUGGAGCCCAAGGUCACAUCCCAACCUGGGACAACACGGCGGGCCUCACCUAGAGGACUGGCGCACACUUACCGUGCAGGUAGCAUGCGAGGACUGCUCCGAGGCCACACGCAGCCCGUUGUCCAAGAUGCUGACCUGGGUCUCCGGCACGCUCUGGAGGGCCUGGGCGAAGGUUGCGGUACCCCGCAAGGCAGGUAACCUCAGCAGGGCCGGCUAAAGGGAGAAGGCGACCAUUGCAAGAACUGCUCGCCAAGCCUCUGGGACCUCGGCUCUCAAACCCAAGCCAGAGCAGAUAACCAUCCCCGCCCUCCGCCAUGACCUUCCCACGGCCCUGACCCCCGCGACCUCCCCACUCCGACCCGCCACUGCUGAGACAGCCUGCUCCUCAUCUGUGUACGAAAGCCCUGGGCCCUGCAGCCCAACGUCUCACUGCCACCUCACCGAGCGGCGGGUGCGAAGUAGCACUUGCGUCCCGGAGCAGGCCGCUCGGCAGACUGCGGACGCCGCCAUCUUCUAACUUCCGUCAGUGUAGAGCCGCGCUGCGCAUGCGCAGAGCGGAGUCUGAGGCGCAAGCGCUGUAAGGAAGACUUGGUGCUCAGUCGCCCCCUGUUGGGCAGCAAGUACGUUAGCAAGAAUUGAUCGCAUGUAGUCAUUUGGUCCGUGUGCCUCUAGGAUCUUCGGGACAUUUAUCAACCUGCGAGGGAGGGGCCCUUCAUCUGGUCCCAUCUGAGACAGGUUCUAUUCAUCACCUUCUUCCACCUGAGGGAGGCGGUAUGCAACUGUGGGAGAUGCAUUGUACGCCAGCAGCAGCUCUGAAACCUGGAGGGCAGUGGCUAGGCACAAUUGAGCCCAAGGGCUAAAGCACUUGCCUGUCUGUGCAAGAAGGUGUCCACUAAAGUUAGUUUAAAAGAAUAAAAUAUGCUUAAAUGGUUGACUUGAAAGACGUUUAAUAAUAUAUUGCCAAAUAUAUAGCACUUGGGAAAUGGAGACACAGAAGAAUCAGGAGUUCAAGGACAUCCUCCUCUCUUGUGUAAGGAGUUCAAAACUACCCUGGGUUGUGUAAGACAGUGUCUCCAAAACGUAAGAAAAAAAACGUGUGUAUGAAAAGAGGAACAAUGUAGAGGUAAUUUGUGGAAUAGGGCUCCUUGUUUGGAAUAAAAUAACUAAGCAAAAAA
rnacentral:lncRNA from 1 species